rnacentral:lncRNA from 10 species
AGACUGCACCGGCAUGGCACUGACUGCCCACCCCUCCUGCCUCCUGGCCCUGUUGGUGGCAGGCCUAGCCCAAGGCAUCAGAGGCCCCCUUAGGGCCCAGGACCUAGGUCCCCAGCCGCUAGAGCUGAAAGAGGCCUUCAAGUUGUUCCAGAUCCAGUUCAACCGGAGUUACCUGAGCCCAGAAGGUAUCACAGGGCACAUACAUCUCCAGUCCAAGCCCCCACUUUUUUUUUUUUUGAGACGGAGUUUCACUCUUGUUGACCAGGCUGGAGUGCAAUGGUGUCAUCUUGGCUCACUGCAACCUCCACCUCCCGGGUUCAAGCGAUUCUCCUGCUUCAGCCUCUGAGUAGCUGGGAUUACAGGCAUGCGCCACCACACUUGGCUAACCUUUACAUUUUUAGUAGAGAUGGGGUUUGACCAUGUUGGCCAGGCUGGUCUUGAACUCCUGACAUCAGGUGAUCCGCCUGCCUCGGCCUCCCAAAGGGCUGGGAUUACAGGUGUAAGCCACGGAGCCCAGCCAU